UCCGUAUGUUUCAUCUUCGAUCGGUUUGAGAGACAAGACUUGAAGUAAUCUCCAAAUUUUUUUGUUGUUUGGCAGUCGUUCUGCAAAAAAAUGAGUUUUUGUGCGCAAUUCGGAAUUUUUUUGCCUGAAAAGCGGUGUCCCAUUAUUUCCGGACUUUUCACAGAAUGAGAGAAAGGACCAAGUUUUGCCGCUGGCAGUUUGCAGUAU
ensembl:ncRNA C14F11.33 ncRNA